rnacentral:rRNA from 1 species
CUGGCGGCGUGCCUAAUACAUGCAAGUCGAACGCUUCUUUCCUCCCCGAGUGCUUGCACUCAAUUGGAAAGAGGAGUGGCGGACGGGUGAGUAACACGUGGGUAACCUACCCAUCAGAGGGGGAUAACACUUGGAAACAGGUGCUAAUACCGCAUAACAGUUUAUGCCGCAUGGCAUAAGAGUGAAAGGCGCUUUCGGGUGUCGCUGAUGGAUGGACCCGCGGUGCAUUAGCUAGUUGGUGAGGUAACGGCUCACCAAGGCCACGAUGCAUAGCCGACCUGAGAGGGUGA